rnacentral:rRNA from 1 species
UGAGGAAUCUUGCGCAAUGGGCGAAAGCCUGACGCAGCGACGCCGCGUGGAGGAUGAAGGUCUUCGGAUUGUAAACUCCUGUCGAGUGGGACGAAUGCCGAGAGGGUGAAUACCCCUUUCGGUUGACGGUACCGCUGGAAAAAGCCACGGCUAACUUCGUGCCAGCAGCCGCGGUAAUACGAAGGUGGCGAGCGUUGUUCGGAUUUACUGGGCGUAAAGAGCACGUAGGCGGUUGGGUAAGCCCUCUGUGAAAUCUUCAGGCUUAACCUGGAAAAGUCGGGGGGGACUGCCGGGCUAGAGGACGGGAGAGGAGCGCGGAAUUCCCGGUGUAGCGGUGAAAUGCGUAGAGAUCGGGAGGAAGGCCGGUGGCGAAGGCGGCGCUCUGGAACGUUUCUGACGCUGAGGCUCGAAAGCGUGGGGAGCAAACAGGAUUAGAUACCCUGGUAGUCCACGCCUUAAACUAUGAAUACUAAGUGUCGGCGGGUUACCGCCGGUGCCGCAGCUAACGCAUUAAGUAUUCCGCCUGGGAAGUACGGCCGCAAGGUUG